UGCCAAUUUGUAAGUCGCUCUGGAUAAGAGCGUCUGCUAAAUGACUUAAAUGUAAUGUCUGUCCAGGAGAGAGAGAGGUCUGUUAGUAAUGUAUCACCAUGUCUGUCCAGGAGAGAGAGAGAGAGAGAGGUCUGUUAGUAAUGUAUCACCAUGUCAGUCCAGGAGAGAGAGAGGUCUGUUAGUAAUGUAUCACCAUGUCUGUCCAGGAGAGAGAGAGGUCUGUUAGUAAUGUAUCAUCAUGUCUGUCCAGGAGAGAGAGAGGUCUGUUAGUAAUGUAUCAUCAUGUCUGUCCAGGAGAGAGAGAGGUCUGUUAGUAAUGUAUCACCAUGUCUGUCCAGGAGAGAGAGAGGUCUGUUAGUAAUGUAUCAUCAUGUCUGUCCAGGAGAGAGAGAGGUCUGUUAGUAAUGUAUCAUCAUGUCUGUCCAGGAGAGAGAGAGGUCUGUUAGUAAUGUAUCACCAUGUCUGUCCAGGAGAGAGAGAGGUCUGUUAGUAAUGUAUCAUCAUGUCUGUCCAGGAGAGAGAGAGGUCUGUUAGUAAUGUAUCAUCAUGUCUGUCCAGGAGAGAGAGAGGUCUGUUAGUAAUGUAUCAUCAUGUCUGUCCAGGAGAGAGAGAGGUCUGUUAGUAAUGUAUCAUCAUGUCUGUCCAGGAGAGAGAGAGGUCUGUUAGUAAUGUAUCAUCAUGUCUGUCCAGGAGAGAGAGAGAGAGAGGUCUGUUAGUAAUGUAUCAUCAUGUCUGUCCAGGAGAGAGAGAGGUCUGUUAGUAAUGUAUCACCAUGUCUGUCCAGGAGAGAGAGAGGUCUGUUAGUAAUGUAUCAUCAUGUCUGUCCAGGAGAGAGAGAGGUCUGUUAGUAAUGUAUCAUCAUGUCUGUCCAGGAGAGAGAGAGGUCUGUUAGUAAUGUAUCACCAUGUCUGUCCAGGAGAGAGAGAGGUCUGUUAGUAAUGUAUCAUCAUGUCUGUCCAGGAGAGAGAGAGGUCUGUUAGUAAUGUAUCAUCAUGUCUGUCCAGGAGAGAGAGAGGUCUGUUAGUAAUGUAUCACCAUGUCUGUCCAGGAGGGAGAGGUCUGUUAGUUGCAAUUCUAUGGUAUUUACUAGUAGUUCCUUAGCAGUCACACCUUGGCAAUGCAACCAAGUGAUUGGGAUUCUCUUCUACUAUAUGACAGUACUAGAUCUUAGACUAGUAGUACUAGAUCUACCAGUACUAGAUCUACCAGUACUAGAUCUACCAGUACUAGAUCUACCAGUACUAGAUCUUAGACUAGUAGUACUAGAUCUACCAGUACUAGAUCUACCAGUACUAGAUCUACCAGUACUAGAUCUUAGACUAGUAGUACUAGAUCGUAGACUAGCAGUACUAUAUCUACCUGUACUAGAUCUACCAGUACUAGAUCUUAGACUAGUAGUACUAGAUCUACCAGUAU